AAGAAAAAACGCUUCCAGGAUUAAACAAAAGAAGAAAUUCUACAAGAAGAAACUUCUAAAAAGAGAACAGGAGAGGGUGGGGAAGAAGAUGGGUGACUGGCAGAUGGAAAUAAAAAGGAAAGAUCGGGAAAACAUAGAAAAGGGAAAGCUAGCUAAAACCAAGAAAAAGGACAAGGCUGAGAGAUUUAGAGAUAAGGAUUAGAUAUGAUAUAAAAGGGAGAUGCGGCUGUGAGAAA